CUGGUACUGAGACACGGACCAGACUCCUACGGGAGGCAGCAGUGAGGAAUAUUGGUCAAUGGGCGCAAGCCUGAACCAGCCAUGCCGCGUGCAGGAUGACGGCCCUAUGGGUUGUAAACUGCUUUUAUACGGGAAGAACCCUCUGAUCGUGAUCGGAGCUGACUGUACCGUAAGAAUAAGCACCGGCUAACUCCGUGCCAGCAGCCGCGGUAAUACGGAGGGUGCAAGCGUUAUCCGGAUUUAUUGGGUUUAAAGGGUGCGCAGGCGGAAUAGUAAGUCAGUGGUGAAAUCCCCCGGCUCAACCGGGGAACUGCCAUUGAUACUGCUGUUCUAGAGUUUAGUUGAAGUGGGCGGAAUGUAGCAUGUAGCGGUGAAAUGCAUAGAUAUGCUACAGAACACCGAUUGCGAAGGCAGCUCACUAAGCUAAAACUGACGCUCAGGCACGAAAGCGUGGGGAUCAAACAGGAUUAGAUACCCUGGUAGUCCACGCUGUAAACUAUGAUCACUCGUUGUUGGCGAUACACUGUCAGCGACUGAGCGAAAGUAUUAAGUGAUCCACCUGGGAAUUACGAUCGCAAGGUUGAAACUCAAAGGAAUUGACGGGGGCCCGCACAAGCGGUGGAGCAUGUGGUUUAAUUCGAUGAUACGCGAGGAACCUUACCUGGGCUUAAAUGUAGUGUGCAUUCCCGUGAAAACGGGAUUUCCUUCGGGACCCACUACAAGGUGCUGCAUGGUUGUCGUCAGCUCGUGCCGUGAGGUGUCGGGUUAAGUCCCAUAACGAGCGCAACCCCUAUCUUUAGUUGCUAACAGGUCAUGCUGAGGACUCUAAAGAAACUGCCCGCGCAAGCGGUGAGGAAGGUGGGGAUGACGUCAAAUCAGCACGGCCCUUAUGUCCAGGGCUACACACGUGCUACAAUGGCAGGUACAGUGGGCAGCUAUCACGCAAGUGAAUGCUAAUCUCUAAAACCUGUCUCAGUCCGGAUUGGAGUCUGCAACCCGACUCCAUGAAGCUGGAUUCGCUAGUAAUCGCACAUCAGCCAUGGUGCGGUGAAUACGUUCCCGGGCCUUGUACACACCGCCCGUCAAGCCAUGGAAGCUGGGAGUACCUGAAGUCU
rnacentral:rRNA from 1 species